rnacentral:rRNA from 1 species
CACUCCUGCGGGAGGCAGCAGUGGGGAAUAUUGCACAAUGGGCGCAAGCCUGAUGCAGCCAUGCCGCGUGUAUGAAGAAGGCCUUCGGGUUGUAAAGUACUUUCAGCGGGGAGGAAGGCAAUACGGUUAAUAACCGUGUUGAUUGACGUUACCCGCAGAAGAAGCACCGGCUAACUCCGUGCCAGCAGCCGCGGUAAUACGGAGGGUGCAAGCGUUAAUCGGAAUUACUGGGCGUAAAGCGCACGCAGGCGGUCUGUCAAGUCGGAUGUGAAAUCCCCGGGCUCAACCUGGGAACUGCAUUCGAAACUGGCAGGCUUGAGUCUUGUAGAGGGGGGUAGAAUUCCAGGUGUAGCGGUGAAAUGCGUAGAGAUCUGGAGGAAUACCGGUGGCGAAGGCGGCCCCCUGGACAAAGACUGACGCUCAGGUGCGAAAGCGUGGGGAGCAAACAGGAUUAGAAACCCCAGUAGUCCCAUG